CCUGGUCAAGUAUGAAUGUGCUUUAAAAGAAAAAAGGAAACAUAAGGGUGGAAAUAAAAUUAAAAAAGUGGUAAAUAAGCGUAUUGUCAAAGAGUCUUAAUCACUAAAAGAAAUCCCAAAAGAUACCAUACCAGCCCUAAACCGAUAUUACAAGUUGAAUUAAGUCCUUUAGUGAUCCUAUCCCGAUUGUUCAAAAACUCAAGAAAAGAGCAUAUGAGCAAUCCAAAGGUAUUUUGUAUACACCGGCCGAUACUUCUUUGUGAUCGAG
rnacentral:lncRNA from 1 species